rnacentral:rRNA from 1 species
GAAGGAGGAGCUUGCUUCUCUGGAUGAGUUGCGAACGGGUGAGUAACGCGUAGGUAACCUGCCUGGUAGCGGGGGAUAACUAUUGGAAACGAUAGCUAAUACCGCAUAACAGUAGAUGUUGCAUGACAUUUGCUUAAAAGGUGCAAUUGCAUCACUACCAGAUGGACCUGCGUUGUAUUAGCUAGUUGGUGGGGUAACGGCUCACCAAGGCGACGAUACAUAGCCGACCUGAGAGGGUGAUCGGCCACACUGGGACUGAGACACGGCCCAGACUCCUACGGGAGGCAGCAGUAGGGAAUCUUCGGCAAUGGACGGAAGUCUGACCGAGCAACGCCGCGUGAGUGAAGAAGGUUUUCGGAUCGUAAAGCUCUGAUGUAAGAGAAGAACGAGUGUGAGAGUGGAAAGUUCACACUGUGACGGUAUCUUACCAGAAAGGGACGGCUAACUACGUGCCAGCAGCCGCGGGUAUACGUAGGUCCCGAGCGUAGUCCGGAUACAUAGGGC